CGCCCACCAUGGAUAUGGUAAUUACUCGAGCGCGAGGCGGCGUGCUGUUGGUGCCCGUCGAGGGAAAAGAUGCGUGUUGAGCGGAGCUUGAGUCACCUAGCAAGAAGAAUGAGUCCCCAGACGAGCAGCUGCAGCUCAAUGAACACAGCCGAAGACAAAUCAGAAGUGACAUCCUGGCUGAGCUCUGGAUCAAAGGAAACUGCUCCAUCCUCAGCCGGAGCCCAAGGGGAAGAUGGUGACAGGGGGAUGUCAGCAAACUGCAGCCUGGCAUCCAAUUGGGUCCCCCGGGAUCUCCUGUGUUGAGCCACCUGCAUGUGUGUUUGAGUUCAUUGAGAGAACAGAUGUCCCACCACCACAGUACCACAAACUCAACUGAGCUCUAAAAAUAGAAGAGAAAGCAGCACACAUUCCUGAGGUGUGAAGUGUGAGAUAAGCAGUUUUGUUCUCAGCUGUGUCAUACAGUGGGUGUCCCUAUACAAAUGCCAA